UGCAGCCCCUGUCAUGUACCCCCUGCUUGCUCAAAUCAAUCACGACCCUUUCAUGUGAAAUCUUCAGUGUUGUGAGCCCUUAAAAGGGACAGAAAUUGUGCACUCAGGGAGCUCAGAUUUUGAGGCAGUAGCUUGCUGAUGCUCCCAGCUGAAUAAAGCCCUUCCUUCUACGACUCGUUGUCUGAGAGGUUUUGUCUGUGGCUCGUCCUGCUACAUUUCUUGGUUCCCUGACAGGGAAACGAGGUGACUGAUGGAUGGCCGAGGCAGCCCCUUAGGCAGCUUAGGCCUGCCCCGCGGAGCAUCCCUGCAGGGGACUCCGGCCAGCCUGAGUGACGCGAUCCAAAGAGCGCUCCCGGUUAGGAAAUUGCCCCCAUUGGAACGCCUUGCCAGAGCAGCACGUAGCAGGCCCCCGUGGAGGAUCCACACAGUGGCUGAACACUGGGAAGGAACUGGCGCUUGGAGUCUGGACAUCUAAAAGUUGGACACAUUUGGAGAAUUUGGUUAUUUUACCAAGGCUUUGACUGGAAUCAUGUGCUUUCCUUAUAAGGAAUCAAACUUGACUUACGGAGCCAAUAAAGCCCUUGGAAAAACUGGCCUCAUAUUCUGUAUACACAGUCCCUGAACAGGGUUUCUGACUGUGUAAGUAAAGAAUAUCACUUUUUGACAAGUGCAGACGCCCCAGGUUUAUCUUGGGCCCUCAAAAGGAGAGGAAAUUUCACCCAACUCAUGGGUAUUUAAUGGCAUAAAUCCAUGGCUCGGCUGGGUUUUACGGGUUUUACAAAGUCUUAUCUGAGAUUCCUGCUAUGGAACAAAGUUCCAUCAGAGCCUACUUAAAAGCCUAAGUAAAAAAUAAUCAUUCUUGCUGCAUUGUAUACAAAUAGUUAGGCCAAGUAUAAUAAACAAACCAAUCCUACCAUGAUUUGUCUUUAGUAAUAUGCGAAACUGAAGAGAGAAAAACAAAUUAUCUUCUAAAACAAUUGUACACCUGUUGUUAGAGUCUAGUCUUGCCUAUUUUUUUUCAAUUUUUAUUAUUUU
rnacentral:lncRNA from 10 species